UGCAAGUCGAACGGGAAUCUUCGGAUUCUAGUGGCGGACGGGUGAGUAACGCGUAAGAAUCUAACUUCAGGACGGGGACAACAGUUGGAAACGACUGCUAAUACCCGAUGUGCCGAAAGGUGAAACCUAAUUGGCCUGAAGAAGAGCUUGCGUCUGAUUAGCUAGUUGGUGGGGUAAGAGCCUACCAAGGCGACGAUCAGUAGCUGGUCUGAGAGGAUGAGCAGCCACACUGGGACUGAGACACGGCCCAGACUCCUACGGGAGGCAGCAGUGGGGAAUUUUCCGCAAUGGGCGAAAGCCUGACGGAGCAGCGCCGCGUGAGGGAGGAAGGUCUUUGGAUUGUAAACCUCUUUUCUCAAGGAAGAAGUUCUGACGGUACUUGAGGAAUCAGCCUCGGCUAACUCCGUGCCAGCAGCCGCGGUAAUACGGGGGAGGCAAGCGUUAUCCGGAAUUAUUGGGCGUAAAGCGUCCGCAGGUGGUCAGCCAAGUCUGCCGUCAAAUCAGGUUGCUUAACGACCUAAAGGCGGUGGAAACUGGCAGACUAGAGAGCAGUAGGGGUAGCAGGAAUUCCCAGUGUAGCGGUGAAAUGCGUAGAGAUUGGGAAGAACAUCGGUGGCGAAAGCGUGCUACUGGGCUGUAUCUGACACUCAGGGACGAAAGCUAGGGGAGCGAAAGGGAUUAGAUACCCCUGUAGUCCUAG
rnacentral:rRNA from 1 species